GCGGAACCGGACCCGCCCGCCUACCUGACCACAUCCACGGGUAAACAACCGGUCGACACCGUUAGCGCAUACAGCCUGUGGCCCAAGCAGGCAAGGAAACUUACAGGCAAUGGCGGACAUGAUGUCGGUGAGACAUGGGGGUGACUGUCGGGACCGGAAAGAUGAUGUGAAGGGAGGGAGAUAGUCGGCACCGCCCCGGGCAACAGUAAUAACGGACUAUCCGUGAAUCCCAGCUGCCUCCGUUGGAAGUUGUCGAAGCAGUCUGGUGUGAAGUGGUCACUGCAGAGUCGAGUGUUGGUAGUGAUCCGCAGCUCUCCGUCAACAUGGCUCCUCACAAAAUCUAACCACUUACCCUUCAUUUCCUCCUCUUUGGGUAUUUUAAAUAACGUGGCAGAGCUCCUCUGUGUGUUUUUGCAUCCAGGGAAGAGACAUUUGCGGGACAGUGACAUCUUAGCAAACCAAAUGAGCCAAAGACGCAGAAAAACGGCGAGAACCGUGGCUACUUGGUUUCUUCCUCGACAUGAGCAGCCAGUCUGCAGCCACGCCCCCGGAACGCCAGAUGAUAUUUACAGCAGCAGCAGCAGCAGCUAUGACGAGCCUUUUAAAUAUUUAAUCACCAAGUUUGACUAUCUGAAAUCACUACAUAUAUAUCUGUGACGUUAUUUUGACUAGUCAUCAGUUUAGUAUGAAUUGUAGAUAUCUCUAAUUCAAUUCAACAACUCAAGUUCAAGAUAUCUACAUUGUCAUUAUAGUUUCAGAUAGAAUAAAGUUGUACAUCGAACUGUGACUAGUCAUAAUGACGUAUGUGUGUAUAUAUAUAUUUGUACAUAUCUGACACUGGAAUUAGAGAUAUCUACAUGUAUAAGGCAAGCCUUUUUAACAUUUAAUCACGAUGGUUGACUAUCUGCAAUUACUAUUACAGAUUUCAUUGUGACUAGAGCGACUAUUCAUUUCAUAAUCGAUUAAUCUGUCGACUAUUUGCUCAAUCGAGUAAUCGCUUGGUCCAUAAAAUGUCAGAAAAUGUUGAUCAGUGUUUGUCAACCCUGGAAAUUAUGUUCUCAAAUGGAGUAAAGAAAUGAAGAAAAUAUUCACAUUUAAGAAGCUGAAACAAUCAGAAUUUUCAUUUUAAUCAUGAAAAAAGCUUCAAAUCAGAAUAGUUGACGAUUCAUUUAGUAAUCGUUUAAUAAUCGAGUAAUUGUUUCCACUCUAAUUGUGACUUGUAUGAAUUGUUGAAGAUGUUUGUGAUGUGGUUAUUAAUAAAUGGAUAGCUGAUGGAUGGA